UACGUAGGGUGCGAGCGUUGUCCGGAAUUACUGGGCGUAAAGAGCUCGUAGGUGGUUUGUCGCGUUGUCCGUGAAAACUCACAACUCAAUUGUGGGCGUGCGGGCGAUACGGGCAGACUGGAGUACUGCAGGGGAGACUGGAAUUCCUGGUGUAGCGGUGGAAUGCGCAGAUAUCAGGAGGAACACCGGUGGCGAAGGCGCUGCUCUGGGCCGAAACUGACGCUGAGGAGCGAAAGCGUGGGUAGCAAACAGG
rnacentral:rRNA from 1 species